rnacentral:sRNA from 1 species
UGAGUGUUUCCGUUUGAUUGCUAGGCUGCAUUCUGGGUCGCUUCCCAACAGCCUAGGUGACAGCUCUUCACGGGACACCUGAAUAACUGUGAGGUGAUGAACUGUGAGACCUCACAUGAUACACAGUCUUUAAAAUAGUCAGCGUGACAUAAUGCACCAGCUAUGACCCAGGUUGUGGUGGAAAGUAUCUGGGGAGGAAAAUUAGGAUCAAGAUAGUUGAAAGAUAGCCAAUUUAGAAUCUAGACCAGGGUAGGGAAGACUAAGGUCAAGGAAACUUUCUACCCUCCCACCCCUCUCUCUUGGCAACAGUUCUGAAGCGCCCCCGCAGUGUUCUGUAAGGUGCCACAGACAGAAACAAUACAAAAGGAACCCGGGGUUUGCUAAGACAUUAGAGCCCCAGGAAAUCUCCUGUCGGAGAAGUUGGACAGCUCUCUUGGUGUUUAUCCUCUGUUUCCAGAAUCUUCCACGUUUAUCUCAAACGUUUCAGUGAUUGCCUUCCUCCAGGCAAUAGACCAUGCUUUCCGGAGAUCCGACCAGCAACUUGGCUGUCCCAGCGCCUGUUUCCAAAAUGACUGUGUGGGAACGCAACUCAUACCCUCUCCCAACAGUAGGUGGCAGCACUAACCUUGUUCAUUUCGCUCCCGCAUCUGUAAGAGCAAGCCGAAUUUACUCAGUGGCAACAGUUUAAGGACAAACCUUAUUUAAUGUUAUUUCUCAAGAAUAUAGGCAAGUAGGUGAGUAACUUAAAAACCCGACUAAGCUCUUGGCCAUGAAGAGACUGGAGGAACCGCCCACAUUUAGACACGUUGAAAUGUGAAGCAGAGACCUGACUCAUUUAUACUAAUUUUUCUUCUUCACCGAAGUCUCAGGCAAAGCUAGUUAGUAGACCAUUUCAGAAGAAAGUAAGUGCUUGAAGUCAGACCCGAAAAUUCUUAUUUUAAUGUGAAAUUUACAUCUCAACAUUUUAAAGUUACGUUUAUUUAUUUGCGCCCCGGGGGUGGGGAAGGGCAUUCAGGUGGAGGUCAGAGAACGACUUUCAGAAAUGGGUCUGGCCUUUCACUGGGUGGAUUGGAGGCUGACUUUAGGUUGUCAGCCUUGGUGGCAAGCACCUUUACCCGCUGAGCCCUCUUGCUGGCCCAGGCAGUUUUAAUUAUGCUUUAAAAAACAAACAGCAACAUCAAGAAAACAACAAAAAAUCAAAACAAAACAGAUUUUCCUUUUAAAGAGCAGCCUUAAGUCAAAAGCAAAAUUGAGAUAAAAGUGCAGCGAUCCCCACGUGUGCUCUGGACUCCCCAAGACUAUGAACAUCUGCACCAGGGUGCUGCCGGCUCCUGCUGCUCAACAUGGUUAUUUUCUCAGCUUCCCAAGGGCACAGUUUACAUGCGUCUUCCCUUGGAACGGUGCGCUCUGCUCUGCGAGUUUGGAACUAUGUACAAUGCGGCGUUUUCUCCUACACGGCAUGCGGAGUAUUGCCACUGUCCUAAGUGCCUCCACUCUCCAUUCGCUCCCCAUUCCUUUCCUCCAACCUCUCGACUCCUGAAUGUUUUGCCUCGGUCUUCCCAGAAUGCCACACAUGGGUGGGUUCUUACAGUGUAUUCUGUAAUGGAGUUGGCUGUUUCACGUGUCAAUCAACUUCUAGGCCCAUGCGCUUCCGUGUCAAGACAGCCGAUUUUCUUUAGUGCCGAGUGCAAACCUGUUGGCUGGGCCACGGUCUAUUCUCCCGUUUACCUCAAGAACGCUUGGUUGCUUCCAAGUUCUGGAUCACGUACAAAGCUGCUAUCAGCACCCGUGGGAUGUGAGCUCUCCCCUCUACACCAGCUGCCAUGACGACAGUGGACGCGUAUCCCCCUGGAACUAUAAGGAUACUUUGGUGGUGAUAUUCUAACACAGCCAUAGAAAAGUAAGACACCAGGGAACCAACUAUCCGAGCAGAACUUUCCCGACCCGAAGGAGCUGAGGGGAAAUGAAUCACUGAUGGACCGUCACCUGUAAUUUGAUAAUUGGCUUCUAACAACCGGUUUGGCCUUGAACAAUGAGCCACACUCUCUUUACUGCUAGAAUGUUCCAGAAGGAAGGAGACAAACACCAUACAAUACUGUGCAGACGCCCACUGUCCAUCCGUUGAGAAGACUUCCAUCUGCCGGGGUGCGGUGUGCCCUGGGGAGGAGGCUGAGUAACCGGCACAGUGUAUACUUGGAUAAUGACAGUGAGCUAACCUUUCCUCAGAACUCCAUGGAACCACGACACUCAAAGUUAAGUUGACCCUGUAGCUUUACUCCCCGUUAUCUGCUGCCUCCAGGUCGAGAUCGUCUCUCAACAUUUGCCUAAGAUGUAGCGUAAAGUCCUUUGAGGGGAAGUGAGCACAGUGUCCCACCCGGCUAAUGGCUGCCCCAGCAUUUACUCUCACCAUCUGAGAACGCUCGGGGAGCUUCAUUCACUAGGACACAUACUCCUCUCUGGUUUGGGCCACUUACUAUUCAGUGGUGUUCGGAGCCAUGGCCACGCGGCAUAGGCCACACUUACGAGUAUGUCGCUCUUCUGUUCUAACUGUGCACAGCUUCAGAGGGACCUGGCUGCACACAGACAUGGUGCUUGGCAGAAAGGAACUCUGUCUUGAUAAAUGCACAUCCACAGUCAGGGGCAGUUGAGUAACAGGAAACGGUCGUGAUAAAUCCGAGCCUUAUCUAUCAACAGUUAUGUCCCUGACGGCAGGCGCCCAGUGUCAUCUCCUGUUGACUUCUCAAAGCCUGGCACAGCAUCUCCCACAUAAACGCUUGGCAAACGAAGCGAAAGGUGAACAGGCAGCUGUGCAGCAUGGCCGCUAAGGCACUCAUUCCCUCAGCAACUCCAAUGCUAAUUUAACUCAUUUUUAUGUCCUGGCUUGGGAGCGGGAGAUAAAAUACUGCUUUUCUUCCAGCCAUUGCUCCAAAGCUAAAUUUAUAUGUUACUCAUACCCACGUCACCACAGGCUAAUUAGAUGUAAGAAUUUACUCCCGGUUCAAAGAAAUCUGACUUCAAAGCAGAGCUGAACUCACUUUUAAAUCAAUCAUCUCGCAUUCUCCCUUCCGCCAACAGAAAAGGACAAAGUGUCAUUGUUCGCCAGCAUGGCGCUGAACGUCAGGUCAGCCACUCCAACCCAUCUGGGAUAUGAACAGCUAUAUUUGCAGAGAAUACAAUAUUUUAUGUUUUAUCAACAUUAUUUUAUUUUAUGUGUGUAUUUGUCUGCAUGUGUGCCUGUGUACCACAUGCUGGCCCGGUAACCAAGGAGGCCAGAAGGAGGCAUCGAGUGCCCUGAACCUGGAGUUCCAGUCAGUUGAAGUCUUCACGGGGGCGUUGGGAGCCAAACCCAAUCGUCUGCAAGAGCAACACGUGUCCCUAACUAGUGAGCCGUCACCUCUCCAGACCCCCAAAUUCUUUAUUAAUUCUGUGGCAAUGUGCAAGGUGACACGAUGGCAUCAUUUGAGUGGACUUUGGAUUUAUCUGAUCACUGUGACACACACACUGCAGCUUCCAUUGUAAGAAUUUUUUUUCAAUUUUCAGAAAUUUUCUUUUGGGGGUGACAAGGGUGGAGGACUGGGAAAUGAGUGGGUUUGGGGUGCAUGAUGGGAAAUUCACCAGAAUCAAUAAAAAAGUAUGCUAAAAACUCCCAAUGACAUUUAGAUACGUGUCACCUAGGGAUGAUUGUUAGAACUUUGAUAAUCUGAUAAGAAGCCACCUGGACAUCGUGAUGAAUGAUGCAAGGGAACAGGAGAGAAAGAGGCCGAGGCCGUCAUAGCCUCGUGGUACAGAGUCCUGCUCAGCAUAUGCAGCCACAGGACCUGAGGCACAGGAUCUGCAGUGAGGAGCCGUGGAGAAGACCUUCGCCUAUAGAACCACCAUCUAAUCUCUUGUAGAAGGCCUGCCUCUCUGUGCUCCCAGAAAUGACCAAGCCAAGCUCAAGCCGACAAGCCAAGAAUUCUCCCCGUAGGACUGGCCCAGGCUCCCCUCUUUUCUCCCUUGGCCUGGGGCUAGAUCCAGCCUGUGGUCCCCCACUCCAUUCUCAGCUCUUCCAAGGGAUCCAGUGGUGCCUGGGUGUCUGAGAGCCUGAGAACCAGGCGACCUGGCCUUGGGGCAGGCCCGGGAACCCCUGAGCCAGCCAGAGUUGGCAAUCCUAAGCCUCAGACUGCUCUUCCCCAUUCCCGGAGUGGUGUCUUGCGGCUUCCCUACGGCCUGACACCCACCCAGCGACAGUGUGUGGUAAGCACAGUCACUUCCUGUAUCUUGCCUCCCCUGUGGCAGAGCAGACACAGGCACCAUAACCCUACAGCAGCAAAUCUUUUCUUAUUUAUUAAUUGCUCCAUUUUCAUUAAAUUAUAAACUUUGGGUUUCUGA